AAAUAUUACUACGGGAAAGACUUCUUCAGCUUGACUGACCUCUGGGCAGCGAUCGUCGUCACGUCAUAUGUGAAAGAGAUCGACGAACACACACUCACAGAUCAGUGGGACCAUAAAGACCUGUUUCCCAUCUACACAGCGAUCGACAAGCAAUGCAAACAGAGCAUCAAGGAGAAAGACCCCUGGUUUGAGAUCAGUCCACAUGAAGCA